rnacentral:rRNA from 1 species
AGCAGCCGCGGUAAUUCCAGCUCCAAUAGCGUAUAUUAAAGUUGUUGCAGUUAAAAAGCUCGUAGUUGAAUUUCGGGGUCAGCAAGUUGGUCGUGCCACCGGUAUGCACUGGCUUUGCUGAUUCCUCCUUCUUGUAGAACCGUAAUGCCAUUAAGUUGGUGUUGCGGGAAAACAGGACUGUUACUUUGAAAAAAUUAGAGUGUUUAAAGCAGGCUAACGCUUGAAUACAUUAGCAUGGAAUAAUGAAAUAGGACGACGAUCCUAUUUUGUUGGUUUCUAGGAUUGACGUAAUGAUUAAUAGGGAUAGUUGGGGGCAUUAGUAUUCAAUUGUCAGAGGUGAAAUUCUUGGAUUUAUUGAAGACUGACUACUGCGAAAGCAUUUGCCAAGGAUGUUUUCAUUAAUCAAGAACGAAAGUUAGGGGAUCGAAGACGAUCAGAUACCGUCGUAGUCUUAACCAUAAACUAUGCCGACUAGGGAUCGGAUGAUGUUAAUUUUUUAAUGACUCA